rnacentral:misc_RNA from 1 species
GCGACUAUGGGAUGCAGCCAAUGUGAGUAUCUUACCCUUCAUUAGACCAGUUUAUUGGUUUGGACCUGGCAUUGAUGAUAUUUUCAAUUGUAACAGCUUAAGUAGCAUUUAGAAUAUUUAGAUCCUUUGUUUUGCUUGCUAUGAUCUUAGUCUUCUACCAACUAUGUAUAAUCCUUACCAUAAGUAAUCACGCAUUCCCUUUCCUAGUAUCCAGUUCACUCUUUUAUGUUUUUG